AAUGUCCCGCCCCUCUGAUUAAAGCACAAUAUCAGACUGUCUGUUAGUCAGGACUGUCAAACCAACAUCACUGUUCCUUCAGUUCUCACUCAUUCACAGUAAAGAUGACAGCACACGCUCUCAUUAUCUGCUCUCUACUGCUUUUCAUUGCUGAGUGUAAUGGACAGAUCACGGUCACUCAGAGUCCCUCAAUAACAGCUCAACCAGGACAACAAGUUCAAAUAAACUGUAAAACCAGCAGUGGAGUGUAUAAUGGUAAUCGUUUAGCCUGGUACUUACAGAAACCUGGAGAAGCUCCUAAACUCCUCAUAUAUGCUGCAACAAACCGCAACACUGGAACUCCAUCUAGAUUCAGUGGCAGUGGAUCUAAUAGUGAUUUCACUCUGACCAUCAGUGGAGUCCAGACUGAAGAUGCAGGACAUUAUUACUGUCAGAGUUUUCACGUCAUCAACAGUAAAUAUGUGUUCACACAGUGAUAAAGAGUCGUACAAAAACCUCCUUCAGUGAAAGAGGAACUACUGAUACAGAAACAGUUUCUCUGAAUGUUUCAUUAUAAAUUGACAUGGACACAAAGUUUUAGAUUUUGAUAUUUCACACUCAACACUACAUAUGAAACUGGACGACACAUUUUAUUAUAAAGGUCAAUUCAGUCAUUUUUGGUUGAUGUUUUACUGGCUGAUAUGACACUAGUCUUAAACUUUACUGACACCUAUCCAUGUGAAUACAGCAUC